rnacentral:lncRNA from 1 species
ACUUAUCCUUAGGUAUUUCAUAUUUUUUGAUAUUUUUGUGAAUGCUUGCUUUUUAAAAUUUCGUUUUUGACUGAUCAUUGCUAGUAUAUAGAAAUAAAAUUGAUAUUUGUGUAUUGAUCUUGUAACCUGCAACCUUUCUAAAUUCACUUAGUUCUAGCAGUGUUUUUUUUUUCCUUUUGUAGAUCUCAUCAGAUUUUCUUCAUAGACAAUCAUAUUGUCUGAGAAUAUAAGAUUUUAACUUCUUUUUUCCUCCAAUCUGGAGACUUUUUAUUUGUUUAUCUUUCCUGAUUGCACUGACUGGAACCGCCGAUACAACGUUGAAUGGAAGUGGUCAGAGCAGACAUUUUUGUAUUGUUCCUGAUCUUAUGGAGGAGCACUUUCUGUCUUUCACCUUUAAGUAUGAUGUUAGCUGUAAAUGUUCCGCAGAAGCCCUUUAUCAGGUUGGGGAGUUCACUUCUAUUCCCAGUUUACUGAGAAUUUUUGUCAGGAAUGGAAGUUGAAUUUGUCAAAUGCUUUUUCUGCAUCUAUUGAGAUGAUGACAAUAUGAAUUUUCUUUCUUAAUAUAACAAAUUACAUUGAUUGCUUUUUGAAUAUUAAACCAACCCUGCAUUCUUGGGGUAAACCCCAGUUGUUAUGUAUUAUCCUUUAAAAAUAUUUUUGUAUUCGAUUUGCUAAAAUUUGUUUUGCAUUUGUGUUCAGGAGCCCAUGCCUGAAAGCUCUGGGGUGAUUAGAUGCCAAUAGCACCAACAGUUUUUCUUCUGUGGCACUAAGGACAAGAUAGAACAGUUGGCGUUCAUAACAGAUCUUCAAGAAGGAAUGGAAGAACACUUGAAAUGAAGAUUUGUGCAGGCAGAAGAAAGGAACAAUAAACUUGAAGAUAAGACAACUUAAAUUACCCACUGUGAGAAGCAGAAAGAAAAGAAGGAAGAAAAAUGAAUAGAGCUCAAGGGAGGUGUGGGAUACCACUGAACACACCAACACAUUCAUCAUUGGAAUCCCAGAAGAGAGGAAAAAGGGAAAGGCGCAGAAAAAUUAUUUGAAGAAAUAAUGGCCCCAAACUCUCCAAAUCUGAGGAAAAAUAUGAAUGGACAUGUCCAAGAAGUUCAAUGAACUCCAAGCAGAAUCAACUGAAAGAUCAAAUUGCUGAAACCAAAAUAUAAAGAGAAUACAAAACAGAAAGAAAGGACUGAUUAUCAGCACGAGAAAUCCUCAAUAUUAUCUGCUGAUUUCCCCUCACAAACCAUAGAGGCCAGAAGGCGUGGGAUGACAUAUUCAAAGUCCCGAAAGAAAAACCGUCAACCGAGAAAUCUAUCUCUGGCAAAACUAUCCUUCAAGAAUAAAGGAGAAAUUAAGACAUUCACAGGUAGACAAAAACAGAGGGAGCUUAUUACCAGCAGACCUGCCCAACAAGAAGAACUAAAUGGAGUCUUCAGUGUGAAAUGAAAGGACAGUAACUCAAAGCCACAAGAGAAAAUAAAGAACACUGGAGAAAAUGACUAUAUAGGUAAAUAUAAAAACCAGUGUUAUUGUACUUUAGAUAUGGUUUGUAACUUCUCUUUCUUCUAUAUGAUUUAAUAGGAAAAUCUAUCAAACAAUAAUUAUAAAUACAUGC